rnacentral:rRNA from 1 species
AUACGGAGGGUGCAAGCGUUACUCGGAAUCACUGGGCGUAAAGCGCGCGUAGGCGGCUUGGUCAGUCGGAUGUGAAAGCCCUGGGCUCAACCUGGGAAUUGCAUUCGAUACUGCCAAGCUAGAGUAUGGGAGAGGGAAGUGGAAUUUCCGGUGUAGCGGUGAAAUGCGUAGAUAUCGGAAAGAACACCAGUGGCGAAGGCGACUUCCUGGCCCAAUACUGACGCUGAGGUGCGAAAGCGUGGGGAGCGAACAGGAUUAGAAACCCUAGUAGUCC